UUGUAAUACGAACCGGUGCUAAAGGGUCCUGCCCAACGCCUACUGACAGGUGCUGUCGGACAGGGACCCUUUAGCACCAGUUCGUGUGCUAA
rfam:Sorghum bicolor cultivar BTx623 chromosome 6, whole genome shotgun sequence.